rnacentral:rRNA from 1 species
UUGACCUCGGAUCAGGUAGGAAUACCCGCUGAACUUAAGCAUAUCAAUAAGCGGAGGAAAAGAAACCAACAGGGAUUGCCCUAGUAACGGCGAGUGAAGCGGCAACAGCUCAAAUUUGAAAUCUGGCGCUUGCGUCCGAGUUGUAAUUUGUAGAGGAUGCUUUUGGCGCGGUGCCUUCCGAGUUCCCUGGAACGGGACGCCMUAGAGGGUGAGAGCCCCSUACGGUUGGACACCAAGCCUCUGUAAAGCUCCUUCGACGAGUCGAGUAGUUUGGGAAUGCUGCUCUAAAUGGGAGGUAAAUUUCUUCUAAAGCUAAAUACCGGCCAGAGACCGAUAGCGCACAAGUAGAGUGAUCGAAAGAUGAAAARCACUUUGAAAAGAGGGUUAAAUAGCACGUGAAAUUGUUAAAAGGGAAGGGUUUAUGACCAGACUUGUACCUGGCGGAUCAUCCGGUGUUCUCACCGGUGCACUUCGUCUUGUUCAGGCCAGCAUCGGUUUCCGUAGGGGGAUAAAGGCUUCGGGAAUGUAGCUCCCCUCGGGGAGUGUUAUAGCCCGUUGCGUAAUACCCUUCCGGGGACCGAGGUUCGCGCUCUGCAAGGAU